AGUGAACGCUGGCGGUAGGCCUAACACAUGCAAGUCGAACGGCAGCACAGUAAGAGCUUGCUCUUACGGGUGGCGAGUGGCGGACGGGUGAGGAAUACAUCGGAAUCUACUUUUUCGUGGGUGAUAACGUAGGGAAACUUACGCUAAUACCUCAUACUACCUACGGGUUAAAGCAGGGGAUCUUCGGACCUUGCGCGAUUGAAUUAGCCGAUGUCGGAUUAGCUAGUUGGCGGGGUAAAGGCCCACCAAGGCGACGAUCCGUAGCUGGUCUGAGAGGAUGAUCAGCCACACUGGAACUGAGACACGGUCCAGACUCCUACGGGAGGCAGCAGUGGGGAAUAUUGGACAAUGGGCGCAAGCCUGAUCCAGCCAUACCGCGUGGGUGAAGAAGGCCUUCGGGUUGUAAAGCCCUUUUGUUGGGAAAGAAAAGCAGCAGGUUAAUACCCCGCUGUUCUGACGGUACCCAAAGAAUAAGCACCGGCUAACUUCGUG
rnacentral:rRNA from 1 species